CGCAAGCGUCCGAUUUCGGACUUCAGUAGCUUCUUUGGGGUACUUGCGGGCCCAGUUGUGGACAUCCUCAGCCUCAAAACCAGGACAGACAUGAGGACCCAGAUCCACCAGAUCGUUGUAAUCUCGCACGUUGGCAAGAAAAUCAACUUUAAGCUUCUCCAAAUGGUCAAUCAUGCGUUGAAGCUCCUCAGUCAUGCGUUGGAUCUCCUCAGUCUUUUCCUGGUCUAUUCCCUCCAGUCGCUUUAUCUCCUUUUUGCAAUCAUUCAGCGACUGGGAGAGCUUCUUAUUUUCCUCGUCCCCUUCGUUCAACCGUCAGGUAAAUAUAUCAUUUUGCUUCCGACAAGAAUGAAGGUUCGCCUCAGUAUUCUCGUGCUGCCGGGUGAUGUCGACAAUCAUCGACUCCUUGAUUGAAACCCGGGCACGUUGAGCAGCUAAUUCCAACUCUGCAGCCCCCAACUCCCCAUUGACUUUGGAGAGUUCCUACUCCUUAUCUCUCAAGAGAUUCUUUUGAGCAGCCCAGUCCUCAGCCAACUUCUUGUUGGUAGCAGACAAAGUAGAGGCGUCUGAAGCUUUUUGCA
rnacentral:lncRNA from 1 species